AUUGAACGCUGGCGGCAUGCUUUACACAUGCAAGUCGAGCGGCAGCGCGGGGGCAACCCUGGCGGCGAGCGGCGAACGGGUGAGUAAUGCAUCGGAACGUAUCCUCGAGUGGGGGAUAACCCAGCGAAAGUUGGGCUAAUACCGCAUGAGCUCUGAGGAGGAAAGCGGGGGACCUGCGAGGGCCUCGCGCUGGAGGAGCGGCCGAUGUCCGAUUAGCUAGUUGGUGGGGUAAAGGCUUACCAAGGCGACGAUCGGUAGCUGGUCUAAGAGGAUGAUCAGCCACACUGAGACUGAGACACGGCCCAGACUCCUACGGGAGGCAGCAGUGGGGAAUUUUGGACAAUGGGGGCAACCCUGAUCCAGCCAUGCCGCGUGAGUGAAGAAGGCCUUCGGGUUGUAAAGCUCUUUCGGACGGAACGAAAUGGGCGGGACUAAUACUCCUGUCUGAUGACGGUACCGUAAGAAGAAGCACCGGCUAACUACGUG
rnacentral:rRNA from 1 species